UUUUUUUUUUUUUACAUCUACCACCAUAUAAUUCUUUCCAUUCUCUUUUUCCAUGGAGACAUAGAAAAACUGGACAGAUGUAGACAGAGAACAUGCAGGGCUAUAGUGUGAUGUGGCUCAGGAAAGCUGCCUGAAAUCAUACUAUUUUGUAACCCCUUAGUUUAUUGCUACAAAGAAGCAAGAAUGAGCACUGGAAAGUUCAGAAUUUCCACUAAUGCGCCACAGUUAGUAAUACAGCUUCUAUGAUAUUCCUUGAGAAUAUUCAAUCACUUGAUGCAUUUGACAGAAUAUUAAUUUUUUAUCCUACAUUUUCCAUUUUCUUAUGUUGUUGUUAGUAAUAAACUUUUUGGAUAUUUUACAUUUGUGCAUUAAGCAGCUGUUAAUCUCUGCAUCGUAUGUUUGCCAACUAACACUAAAUCACCGCGCUGAACAUGUAUUUACAGCAUGUUCUUUUUACUUCAGAGUAGAACUUUCAACAUCUAAAUUGUUCUUGCACUUGCUUGAUUUACCUGCUAGCACCAGAAGUUGCCAGUAUACAUCUGUAACAUGUUUAGUGAACAGACAUUUUGCCUUCCCUGGAAACUGCCUGGUACUGCAAGAGCCACUUUCCAAGAGAGUGUUUUGGGAGGAGGGUGGGGUUGGUCAUUUUAAUUGUUUCUACUCUUGAUAGACCAUACAAUAUCAGGACCUCAUAGCACAUUUUCUUCUCAUUAUCACCAGCUAUUCUUAGUAUUUUCUGCAUAUUUCUCCCAAAAGUAUCUCCUCUUCCAGGUUUCCCACCUCACAUCUCCAAACAGCCUGAAACUCCUAUGUUUUAGGAUUGUCCCCUUUAAUUUUAAUUAUAAUUUUAUUUUAGGAUUCUCUCAAUUGCCCCAAGCCAAAAUGGAUGAGCUCAUAUUCUCUCAGAUUGCUCUCUGAUUCUCUCAGAUAUAUUCCUAUGCAGGAACAGAAACUUAAUAUUAGAACACAGAAUCAUCACUAAAUUUAACUUACCACUACUUAUUAUUAGUUUAUCUUGUUCAUAUUAAUGUGCUGAAGAUAAAAUGCAUAUAUAGGCACACAUGUAUCUGAAGUUAUAAAUGGUAAACAUAUAAGACAAAGCAGUAGCUUAACUCCACUGCUGAAUAGUGAAAUAUAUAGAUUUGAUUACCUCCUUUAAUACCAACUUAAUUUGUUUUAUCCUGAAGUAAAACCAAAUGUGUUCAUAUUUUAAAGUCAAGACCAAGUGAAAUAUGUUUCAUAGGACUGAGACAACAGUUCAUAAUUUUCCAGAGAAAGAAUGAAGGGAGGAGGAAAUUAAACAAGCAUUCUUGCAUAUAUUUCCUGAUGUUAUUUUCAUUAUGGAGAAGUAAAAUUGCAUUUACUCUCCUGACGGCAAAGGUCAAAUAACCUGAUAAAAUGCAGUUAAUGCACUGAGAAUGAUUGAUGCUUAAAUGAAAAAGUCGUGUUAUUUUAUGUAGCAAAAAGUGUUCUCCCUUCUUUAUUCUCUCCAUAUCUCUAAUUUAUUUAUGCUUAAUAUAACAAAAAGGUCUACAACAAAACUAAAGGUCAGAGGAGCCUUCUGAAUUACAUACUCACAUAUCCAACAAAGAUUUAGCCAUCCAUGACAUUUUCAUAAUGGUAACAUACCACUUAAGUACUUGAAGUACUUAGUUCAACCACAGUAUUGAUUUUUAGCCUAAUCCUUGUCCUGUAUAAGUACUCACACACGUAUUUUAUAAACUUCAUGCUUCUCUGAAAUCAUCAGCAGUAGAUACUAGCAGCAAUCACAUGCACAGUAAGACAAACGCACCCGUUGAACUUGCUAACAUCUUACAGGAUCUGAUUUAAAACCCCCUGGAAUCAAUCCUGACCGUGGCUUUUAGCCCUCAGGAACCAAAGAACCGGUCACUCACCCUUAGAGGUACGUGUGUGCUACGAGGUCUCUUCAAUAUCCAUAUAUGUCAAAAAAGCAUACAAUUAAUUUAGUGUUCAACAGUUACGCUUUUCUCCUAUGGAAGCAUUUUAUGGAGUUGCUGAACAGCUAUCAGUGUUUAUUGCACAUGAAGUUACUGAGGUGUUCCAGAAAAACGCUAAAAAGUGCUCCCCUAAAACACGUCAAGAUCACUGCUCGCUCAGCUCACUAUCUGAACAGUCGUAUGCUGCCCUGACCUAGUGAUUCUGCUUCUAGACCUUAGAAGUAGGACAAAAACCUGGAUGAUAAAAAGCCCAAGGCCAAUGAGAUUUUUUCUGAAGUUCUUUGCUUGUUCAUCUGCCAGCAUUAAUUUAAUUUCAUGGCAACAGAGCUGUAAUAGGUGAUCAGUUGCUCAGGGGUUCUGUGUAAAAAUCACUAUCAGACAGCCAGACCACAUAAGUUAGAUAUUUAACAUUGCCAUGUAACACAAAUCUAUGGCUUUAAGUAUGUGUGACAUAAUAUUAAGCUGGACUGGCUGAGCCAAUAUUGAUGCUAUCCUAUUUGUGAGUAUUGUCUUUCAGGAUAGCAAUAGUUUACUACUUUCAAAUGCCGUUAUGAUCAGAAAUACCACAUUUUAUACAGUGGACACCUAAUACAAGUUUUCUGUUGGCUUUUUUGCUUUGAGUUUUUCUCUUCCUAUUAAAAACCCACUUUGGUUUGGCAGUUCAGAUUUGAGGUUACCUCAGGCUGCCAAAUCACCAUUGUGGAAUUUUAUUCUUUUUUUCAACUCACGAAGAUUACCAUUUGAAACACUUUCUAGCAGCCACUUGCAGUGUCUGAGAAGUGAUGGCUAUUCUCUAUUCUGGGUACAGCAAAAUGGUAUUCAUUUACAUACCAAAUGUAAAGAAAAAUACGUAACUACCAAGUUGGCUGUUUUGUUGGUACUAUUUUAUUUACAAUAUUACAACGAAUUAAAUGUAAGCAGUAGAAGAAAUUAUCAUGGGCGAGAAUUUCAAGCCUAGCUUCCAUCUUUUGCAAAUGCAAAGCCAAGCCCUUUCAUGGAUACAACAGCCGAGCUGCUGCCUUACUUUAGUCCUUUGCCUUCUGUGGGUUUUCUAUCUCCUUUGAACCAGUGACCUGGCUCCUACCUAUUUAGACCACCCCUAAAAAUACUUCUUGACUUAUUUGAUAUAGCUUCCAUUCUCUCCUGUGAUCCUGAACUGGGU
ensembl:lncRNA